rnacentral:rRNA from 1 species
UGCGUAGGCGGAAAAUUAAGUCAGUGAUGAAAUCCUGCAGCUUAACUGUAGAACUGUUAUUGAUACUGAUUUUCUUGAAUUCAGUUGAGGUAGGCGGAAGGUGUAAUGUAGCGGUGAAAUGCUUAGAUAUUACACAGAACACCGAUUGCGAAGGCAGCUUACUAAGCUGAUAUUGACGCUGAGGCACGAAAGCGUGGGGAGCGAACAGGAUUAGAUACCCUGGUAGUCC